AACUAAGUGGCAGUAUCACGGCCAAUGAGGUUUAUCUGAGGCGCACUUGUCGCUAACUGAAACUUUUCCCAAAACCCCGCCAUGACAACCUGAAAUACAGUUGGCAGUGGCAAUUUUUGACAGUCUCUACAGAGA
ensembl:snRNA U4 U4 spliceosomal RNA